CUCUGAACUUCUGAGAAUUCUCUGAAGAAUUGAAGGGCACAUAGUCAUUGGCAGUGGAGUUUGUGUUAGCUGACUCACCUCUGUGCCUAGAUAGACAACACCAAAAUACACACCGAACAACAGUAAGCACCAUCUGCAUAAAAUAUCAGAGAAAGAAAUCUUAAAUCAGCCCCCAAAUCCAGGUCCUCAUUCCCACUUUCGUGUCAAUGAAGAGAACAGAAAUAAGAUAAGCCAGAGAAAUAAGAACUCUGUAACCUCUGCCCCAUUGGAAGUUGAACCCAUCCCAAUAUAAGCAGUGUUUUUCCUGCCUUUUCUUAUCUUUAGGUUUCAUAGGCUAAACCUGAAAAAUCUAUUUGUUAUUGAUCUCAGAAAGGUCAUUUUUCCCUUUUCUCUCUCCAGAAAUGUUAACUAAUAUGUAGCUGGUACAUUUCAACUAUGGUUCUCACACAGUUGGUAGAUUUGAACCAAGUUUUCAGAAUUCCAUCUCCCCUUUCUUUCCUAUACUUCCCACUCUUAAAGGUGAAGAAAUUCCAGCACAAAUUAUUUAGUACAACUAGGCUGUGUCAGUAAAUGGAAUCAAGUCUCAAAGGUUUUGUGCUUUGAUAUAUUUUCAGUACAUAGAAAUGGUGGCAAUAAAAUGAAAUUAUUUUCUGCAUCCACAAAGGUUUCCAAGUCAUGAUUCUGUAAUACCAAGAGUGUUACCACUUUAUUUGGA